rnacentral:lncRNA from 1 species
GACGAAGGGAAAGAAUACGUGGAGAUUGUGGUGGCGGUGAUGGUAAUAGCAGAGGGGGAAGAAAGGGGGAAGAGUAAUGGGGACCGUGAAGGAAUGUACACGAGUUCGAUCAAAGUUAUGGCAGUGUUUCCUCUCGGGGAGAAGGAA